rnacentral:rRNA from 1 species
UACGAGGGGGGCGAGCGUUGUUCGGAAUUAUUGGGCGUAAAGGGUGCGUAGGCGGUUCCGCAAGUCCUGUGUGAAAUCUUCGGGCUCAACUCGAAGUCUGCACGGGAAACUGCGGGGCUUGAGUGUGGGAGAGGUGAGUGGAAUUCCCGGUGUAGCGGUGAAAUGCGUAGAGAUGUGGAGGAAUACCAAUGGCGAAGGCAGCCCCCUGGGAUAAUAUUGACGCUCAUGCACGAAAGCGUGGGGAGCAAACAGG